rnacentral:lncRNA from 1 species
AUUUUAUUUUGCAGAACAGAAACGUGUUAGUAAACCUCUUACCAGAACACCCUCACUAUCGAUUUUUUUUUGUCACUAAAACACAAACCAGCAUGGGACAUUAAACAGGACCUUUGGUAUUUGGUGUUGGGAAAAUGCCCCCUUGGAUCUAGAGCUCUUUAGGAGUAAUGGCUUCCCGAAAAGAACUAUAGAGAAAAAGAAGGCAGAAUAACCCAGGUGCCUGAGCAUCUUUGAGGAGGCCCCGAUGUGACUACCUGAAACCAGUCUAUGUCAGCACUUCUUGCUACCUGAGAUAUACAUUAUUCAUGGUUUAAGCCAUUCUGAGUCAGGACUUUUUUUUUAUUGAAACUCGGAGCUGGAAAUAGCCAAGUUUACCCACCAAGAAUAACAUCUGGAUUAUGAACCCUGGAAAUAUAACCACUGUCAUUUUGUGUCCCUGGACUAUAUUAAGCUCUACCACAUGGUUUCCAACUUGAGAGUCACUUAGGUUGUCUGUACAGGUGUAUGAGGAAAAGAAAAUCUUAUUUAUGAAUGGAGUGUGGUGAUACACCCUAUCCCGAGCUUUUGUCCCCACCAGCAAGAACAUGCUCAGGACAACCGGAAUCUUCUGCGGCAAAAGCUUUAUUGCUUACUUCUUUAGGAACAAGAGGAGAAGAAUAGGGGCGAAUGGCAAAACCCUGUCCCUUUUAUGGAGGAUUGUCCUCCGCCUCGGACAUGUCGCUCCCUGAUUGGCUGCAGCCCAUCAACCGAGUUGUCGUCAAGGGGAAGGCAGAGCACAUGGAGUGGAGAACUACCCCGGCACAUGCGCAGAUUAUUUGUUUACUACUUAGAACACAGGAUGUCGGCGCCAUCUUGUAAUGGUGAAUGUGAGGGUGGCUCCUCACAACAUCCCUUUAAUCCCAGUACUGAAGGCAGAGGCAGGUGGAUUUCUGAGUCUGAAGACAGCCUGGUAUAGAGAGCUAGUUCCAGGGCUAUACAAGAAGACUCUGUCUUGCAAAAAAUGAAACAAAACAAAAUAAAACAAAUGAAUAAACA